GGGCCGUUAGCUCAGGUGGCAGAGCACCGGACUUUUAAUCCGGGAGUCGCAGGUUCGAAUCCUGCACGGCUCACCA
rnacentral:tRNA from 1 species